UGGACGAGUUCCCGGAAUGGCUGCAACGUUCCAGCAUCGACCACCGGAUCAAAGACACCAACACCAAGUUGAAGAGGAUCGCUAAAAAGAAAAAAGAGCCUGUCAGUGUUUCAGGGCACCAACAACAAGAAGGAAAAGAAGAAAAACCAUUCCGGAGAAGAUGAUCUCACUUACGGUCCGCGGGAUUACGUCAUUGGAUCAAGGCCGAAACUUUGGACAUGGAUUACUUCUGUCUCGGUUGUCAUCUGGAAAUUAUGGGCCCGUAUGUAUGGAACAUCCGCUCUUCUUUGGAAGUUUAUGCAAUCGCAAAUGCAAAAAUAAACUUCUGGAAACCAGUUGCAGCAUUGGCGAGGACGAUAUUCACGUGAGUUGCUCCAUCUGUGGUGUGGAGGAGUGUGUGGUCUGCGAAAAUGGUUCGUUUUCCAGUUGGCGAUGAAUCGAUGUCCGUUAUGAUGCAAAAGACGCCGUUGUUUUGCCUCCCCUGGGCCAGUUUCACCAUCAGAAUAAUCCCACGGCCUCCUUCAGCCUCGCUCCGACUGGGCCUUAAAACUGAAAAGCUUCCUUCACCCAGAUUUAUACCCAUCGACAUCUGUCCAAGAAAGGGCAACCUUCUCUUUGCGUCGUCAUACUCCACGACAAUCUCGGAGCCGUCAACUACGCCCUUAAUUCACUGCGACUUGAAUUGGAGUAUGGAGAAGCUUUUUUCGAUUUUUUCCACGUCAAGAAUUGCAUCUAACGCAACAACGAGGAAACGCCACUCUUGUGGGCUGUGGAAAAUGUCGCCAGCUACCACAUAACCAUUUCGAGGUUUCUCCAGAUGGAACUGAUCACAUUUGACAUGAAGGAUGCCCAAGGCUCCACCAAACAUCGUCUGGUGAACAUGUUCACAGAACAGAAUUUUAAUCCGCAAAUGGAAGAGCAAUUCAUCAACAACGACCAUUCGGUUCCUCCAUUUCCAGUCUUCCGCCCAGCCGAGAGCCUUUUUUUAUCAAAUACUCUUGGAUUCUUGAAGAUAUCGUGGCAAUAAACCAACCCCUGCCAGCCAACUGGCAGGAGAAACACGACCGGAUGCUGUUUCAGCGCGAUAUACUCGAAGCAAGACGAAAACAAUCAAAGUUCCAGCCUUUUUGGAGCAUUACUCGGUCGUCCAGCUGACUCAUAAAACGGCCAAGAAGAAGAGGAAAUUGAGCAGCGAUCUCCGCCCGUGUUGGAAACUUUGCGAAGCCGUCGGCAGUGCUGACGAGGACAGCGACUUAAUUAGUGACGAAACGGGCGACUUUUCGCUACUCUGACGGAUCAAGCCA